rnacentral:lncRNA from 1 species
CGCAUUACCCCCCAAACAAACAGCGGAGGUCUGAGAAAGUACAUAGGCCACUUUGUUGCUGAAGCAAGCUGGGGCUGCAGAGCCCCCCAGCUAAAAAUCACAUGUGGCUGGGAGUGUUUUCCAGGGCUGCGGGGCUCUUUCCUUUCUUCCUUCCCCAUUAAACCCCUCUGCUCUUCUUGGCAAGGGCCUUCAGGUGAGAUCUGUGCUCUGUGUAUCCUGAAAUGAUCCAGAAUGGUUGAAAUGGUCGUUUCCCUGCAUCUGGCUAUUUCCAUUUUACAGGUUUAAGCCAUGUCCUUAUGGUCAGCGCUGAUGGAGGAGCAGCAGGCAGAGGAGCAGAGUGAGUUACAUUUAGAAGCAUGCCCAGGGAAUGUCAUGCAAGAGGAGAUGAACUCAAAGCUCCAUGAGACUGCCUUUUCUUCAGAGACCCACAGCACAGCUACUUCCUCAAGAGAAAGAAGCCCAGUGUUUCCUGUGUCAGACCCAUCGCACGGCAAUUUCAUGAAAUACUCUAUGACAAAUGGAAAGCUCUCUGUCAACAAAUUUUGAAUAUGAUGUACAUGCUGUUCUGGGCUAUGGGAAACAUUAGAAUAUCUGAACUUCUUGGCUCUGAAGUCAAGAAAUUACUAACUCCUUUUUUUUUUUUUUUUUUUUUUUUGGAGGGGGAUCCAACCCAGGGCCUCGUGUAUGCUAGACAAGCACUCUACCACUGAGCCACAUCCCC